GACCCGCUAGCUCAGCAGGUAGAGCAUUUGACUUUUAAUCAAAGGGUCGGGCGUUCGAAUCGCCCGCGGGUCACCA
rnacentral:tRNA from 1 species